AGUAUCUCUCCCGCUGGUGGUUCACCUCCCGAGGUGAGGCAAGAGGGAAUCCGGUGUGAAUCCGGGGCUGCCCCGCAGCGGUGAGUGGAGACGAGGCCGCCACAGGCGCCGGGAACCCCCGAGGACGUCCCGGAGCGGUGACCUCCACGAGCCCGAAGACCUGCCACCGGUGCGCACGUGAG
rnacentral:ncRNA from 2 species